rnacentral:rRNA from 1 species
GAUGAACGCUGGCGGCGUGCCUAAUACAUGCAAGUCGAGCGAACGGACGAGAAGCUUGCUCCUCUGAUGUUAGCGGCGGACGGGUGAGUAACACGUGGAUACCCUACCUAUAAGACUGGGAUAACUUCGGGAAACCGGAGCUAAUACCGGAUAAUAUUUUGAACCGCAUGGUUCAAAAGUGAAAGACGGUUUUGCUGUCACUUAUAGAUGGAUCCGCGCUGCAUUAGCUAGUUGGUAAGGUAACGGCUUACCAAGGCAACGAUGCAUAGCCGACCUGAGAGGGUGAUCGGCCACACUGGAACUGAGACACGGUCCAGACUCCUACGGGAGGCAGCAGUAGGGAAUCUUCCGCAAUGGGCGAAAGCCUGACGGAGCAACGCCGCGUGAGUGAUGAAGGUCUUCGGAUCGUAAAACUCUGUUAUUAGGGAAGAACAAAUGUGUAAGUAACUGUGCACGUCUUGACGGUACCUAAUCAGAAAGCCACGGCUAACUACGUG